GUGUGUGUCUGGUUGUGUUAGUGUGAGUGUCUGGAUGGUUGUGUGUGCGAGUUCCCCUCCCGAGGUCAGGCUCUGGAUCAGCCCCUGGUCAGUGCGUCUGCAUUAAUGUCAUACAUUCCGUUCUCUCUGUAUUAUAAAUUUGUGGGGAUUUUCAUGUUUUACAAAAUGUUUUUUCACUUAUCAGCUGGUGUUCUCUGCAUUAAUUGAUUUAUAAGAUGCAGCCAUAGCAACGGAUUUUAAUGGUCUGCUUAACAUACUGAAUACGUAAUACCCAAUUACCAAGUGUGAUUAUACGUCGCAGCCCCUAUCGCCUCUAGCGGGUCCUCGAAGGGCAAACACUUUACAUACACAUAUAUAUAUUUAAUUUUGUAAAAAAAAUAAACGUUUAGAAUGUU